AUGUCGUCGGACUCUUGGAAAAGCAACGCGGGCAGAGGAAGAGCACGCGCCUCGGCGUCGGAGGAGGCUUGGCAGGAGAUGGUUGUUCUGCUGCAGGCGUGUUCUACCCCAGCCAGGAGUUCGUCGAGCGCGGCCUCCCCCAACGGGGAGUUCUACAUCUGGCAGUGGCGCGUCGGCGUGCCGCACGGCGCUGGGAUGUACUUGUGGACGGACGGGUGGAUGUACGAUGGGGAGUGGCGGCACGGGCCGGGGCAAGUUCUCCUGGUCGUCGGGCCGGAAGUCACCUUAGAGGGCGAGUUCAAGGACGGCUUCAUGGAUGGCAACGACACCUACACCGGCGCCGCCAGGGACAGGUACAAGGGCUCCUGGUCCAUGAACCUUAAGCACGGCAACGGCAGGAAGAGCUAUGUCAACGGCGACCAGUAA
rnacentral:rRNA from 1 species